CUGCCGUCAUGUAAGAAGUGCCUUUCACCACCCGCCAUGAUUCUGAGGCCUCCUCAACCAUGUGGAACUGGCCUCAGCAGAAGAAUGUCCUCCCCUCCAUCUGGAAGGCUCCUGAAUCUAGGGAAGCUCUGUAGCCUCUCUGACCCCAACCCUUUCAAAGCCUCUAACGGCAGGGUACCAAGUGGGGAGCCAAGUUGACAGCUGAAGAAGAGCAAAUGGACACACCCUGAAAAUUCAGCUUGGGGUCCACUAUCACAGGACUUGGCUGUUCUUGCUGUGCGCCAGGAAGCCAGCCUUGGUCCCCUCUUCCUGGGCAGCAGUGGAGCCACUGGAUCCAAGACAUAGGUUCCAUCUCCCAUCUUCCUCUCCCCUUAAAGGCCCUUGGGUUGGAAUGACAUCAAGAAGAUGCUGACAUCUUAGGACAGAGAGAUGAAGUGGAACAGGCAAAGAUGGGGUAGAGUCACCUGAAUGGGGGAAUAAAGACAUUUAACUCUUCAACACAGGCACUGCACUAAAGGCUGGGGAUGUGAGAUGAAGGAGACCUGCUCCCUGACCUCACAGACCAGCAAAGAGAGAGACAGCUACAAGAACACAGAGGUCAGACUCAAAGGAGGGCAGGAAUCAUUCUGUGAGGGUAGAAAGCCAAGGAAGGUUUCUCAAGGAGAAUGAGGAGGUCCAUUAUUACAUAAUCACCAGGCAAACCAAGGGUAGCCCCAUUUGCUCUCCUGGCAGCUGAGCCCUCUCCAGGAAUUGCUUUUAGUCCAAGAGAGCUGCCUCACCCACUGACAUGGCCCCUUCCUGGAGGCAGCCCACAUCAAUAACUGGUCAAGAGGUAGAAGGUUAUAAACAUCCAGUUCCCUUGACUCAAGGCAGGACAACUGUGAAGGGUGUCUCAAUUCAAGAGCAACAUGGGGCCAACUAGGUGAUGCCUCUGCCACAACUGCCCAGCAGUCCAAUUUUCCCCUUGCUUAAUCUUGUUUGCCUAAUUCCUUCAAAGUUGUCCAUCCCACGAGCACUUGCCAGUGAACUACCUGUUCACAAAUUUCCAUCUCCAAGUCCAUUUCCCGUAUUUCCACCAUCUCAGCCAGGCACAAGGCACAGGCCAGAGGUUUUCAAGAACAGCAUCUCAGAAGGACACAAAUCGGACAUGUAAGUUACCUACAUUUUAAACAAGCAAAGCACUGAUUAUUUGUCAAAGAUGCAAGCUUUCUCCCAGAGCCCUCUGAAAGUUGUGUGAGUCCCUGAAGAAUCUACCUGGAAAAUUCCAUUGCCCCGAGGAGCUUUCUCAAAAUGUAUUCCUGCCACCUGCUUCCCUGCGUAUAAUCCUCGCUCUCCACAAGUCUGUUUAUCCAUAGACACAAAAUGUUAGAGCUGUCACCAGGAAUACAAAUGGGGAGAAAGCCACCCUCAAGCCAAUCAAUAAUGCUGGAGACGAAGCAACUGCAGCACUCUGCGGGUCAUAGAUUAUGAAGCACAAAGAAAGGAAACUCAACUCCUAGCAUUGUAUUGUAGCUGAUGGUCAGUAAGGAAAGCUCAUGUUCCAAUCUGAUUCUAUUUUAGCCACUUGGCAGAAAAUCAUCACUGAGGCACAAAUGAGAUGGCCUUGAAGGUGAAUAAAAAUCUUGGGUUCACUUUCCAAGACUUCAACAUCACAGAACUUUUCAGGAGCUCUGCCUCUCUGCAAGGCUUGCACGUCUAUUUACAAAGGCAAAAGCUUCUGUAAAGUACCUGGGUUACCAAAGCAGGCUGGGAGCUGAUAAUCCAAUUUGUUUUCCCUUCAAUAAAUCGUUCAUUAAUGUUGCUAAGAAAUUUACAGCUUAAAAUGGUUUUAUGACUAGAGAUUAAAAAAGAACCGUUCCAAUAAAUUUCAUAUAACUGAGAAGAUUCCUGUCAUUUUGAUUAAGUAGUUCCUUGUGAUGAUAAAGUUUUAUCUUGAAUAAUGAAGGGGGAAAGCAUUAAUCACUUUAAAGUCAUUGUUGCCUGGUCUCUGGAGCCAACAGCCCAGCAGGCUGUCCUAGGGGGUUACUCAGAAACACAAUUUAAAAAACAAAAAUAAACCUACC
rnacentral:lncRNA from 1 species